rnacentral:lncRNA from 1 species
CUCUCUUCAUAAUCUUCUGUCUUGUGUUUUUUUUCCCUGCUUAUAGCCAACACACAACAAUAUUCUUCUUCCCCUUUAUAUUAUAUUAUUUUCUCUGCUUCUUUUGGUCUCUCAUUUUCCCUCUUUCCAGUCCACCUCAGUGACACCUUUUUGAAUGUAUGUAUCUUCUUCCCUAAAGAAGUGACCAAUCCAUAUCUAUCCAAUUUUUGUGCUUUCUAAUAUCUUUGUUUAAUGUCAGUCUUUAUAAUUCCUGGUUAGUUAUUGUGUUUUGUCAACAUAAUUUAUAAUUUAUAGAUUUUUCCUAAGCAGGUAUUGUUGAAAGCAGCAGUUUGUUUAAGUCAAGUUUAUCUUUAUCCGUAAAGCAGUAAGGAUUUUAUGUAGUUGUUGUAAUUAUCUGUUGUUUGGUGUUUCUCGAAAGAUAUUACGAUCUCCAAAUUUGUCUGACUUGAUAAAAGAAUUAUUUUGCUUCCAUCAGUGUUGCUGUAAUGUCUCUGCUAUUACUGUUAUAACUCAUCAUAAUACUAAAUAUUUGAAGCCUUCUAUCUCCUUGAUAUUAUAGUUUUCUAUUUCAACUAGUGCUUUGUUGGAUUCCUCAUUGAUUGAUAUACUUUCUUUCCUGAAU